rnacentral:rRNA from 1 species
UACGUAGGGGGCAAGCGUUGUCCGGAAUCAUUGGGCGUAAAGAGCGUGUAGGCGGCCCGAUAAGUCCGCUGUGAAAGUCCAGGCUCAACCCUGGAAUGCCGGUGGAUACUGUCGGGCUCGAAUCCGGAAGAGGUGAGUGGAAUUCCUGGUGUGAGACGGUGGAAAUGACGCAGAUAUCGGGAAGAACACCCGUGGCGAAGGCGGUCUCUGGACGGUACUGACGCUGAGACGCGAAGCGUGGGAGCGAACAGG